CCCCCCUUCCUUCAGUGCCAGUCAAAGAAUUCGUUUCUUCUUCCUUUCAGCAUCCUCUCAACAAGAGACAUCCUCUGGCAAUGGAGAAAAUCCCAAGAGAAAGCAAAAUAAAAUGCCCCAAAAUGGGCUCAGCAAAAUGUGAAAUCGAAUCUCACAGGGAGACGGGAGCAGGGAAGAUGGUGGGAAAGGUGAUGGCAUUUUGGCAAGCAGGGGGAUGCACCUGGACAAGAGUGGCUCGGCUGUAAGUGCUGGUGGGUGCCGUGGUUGCCUGAAACAGUGUGAUCAGCAAAGGCUGAGCUCCUUCCUUCAGCCACAGAGAUGAAAAAUAAGGUGAUUUACUGAGACUGUCUCCAUGCCAUGGGGCAGAAUGGCCUGGUGGCCUCCUCCUGGGGAAGAUCUGAAGACUCUGGUGGGGCUGAAGACUUCCCCAGACCAGGGAAGCCCAGUUCAGCAGGGAUGCUCAGCUCUCCCUGAAGGGUGCUGUGUUAUGCAUACAGUAGAAUUUGUGGAAAACGGGGAGCUUGAACUUCCAGAAAUGCUGUUGAGGAUCAGCUCCUGGUGCUGUGUCUGACUGCUGAAAUGGUAACAGCCCUUGAGAUUGUCACAGCCUCCUGUGCAUCAGCUUCCGAUCUUUGCCUUAAAAAAGUAAUAUAAUUAAGGAACCCUGCAUCAGGCAUGCAGGAGGGUGUUACCAUGAAGGAUUUUUUCCUAGGAAAAGGAGAUCCAGCAGCACUUUGAAUGCAGAGCAGAAGCCAUGGCUCAAGGAGGAAACAUCCAAGCUCUUGUUCCAGGACCGUCCUGGAUGCCAUUUGCUCUGUGCCUGCCCGGCAGCUCAGAGCCCUCUGAGCAGGUAAGUCUCCCCUCCCCUGGUGCUGGCUUACACCUGCUGUGGGGAUGGUCUCCAAAGCCCUGUGGGCCAAGAGGGCAGAGCAGAUGUGUCACUGCAGCUGGACGGGACAAGGUCCAAAAUGCCCCUGAAGAGGCCCAGGGCCACUGGGCAGCACCUCUGUCCUGCCUUUCCCUAUGAGGAGGUCUGCCCCAGCCCCAGCUGGAAGAAUCCUUGGCUCUGGGGUUCCUAAUGCUCCUUUUCCUCACGUUUGGCUUGGCUCUACAUGGUUUCCUCAUCAGAGGCACGCCACAGAUCACACACUCCCAAUCUCCUUCUCCCAAACAGAGGAGCAGAGAGUGACCCUUUUAAAGAGCUUCCUCUUUGCAUGCCAGACUGAACUGUUGCAAUGCAGAGACACUAAACCAAGGAAGAGCUGGGCUGUGUGGUGUUCUGUCCUGGUGUCACUGCAGGAAGGUCCUGGGGGUAGCAAACGUGGGGUUUGUGGGGAAAAGGAAGGCUCAGGGAAGGUUUUGCAUGUACAGUGAUGCUGUGCUAGAACAGGAGGGGAAAAGAUCUUCUCACCUGCUGCUGAGGCUGGUGGAGAAUAUUCUCUGCUUGGUUUAGAGCCUGGACCACCCCUGCUCCUCCAGACUUCCAUGACUAAAGCCCCAGAGUGCUCUCCAGUGUUUUCUCAAAGACCAAAGCAGGUCAGUGGCACUUGUCACAUGCCAGGGAAUGUGUCUGCCCAUGUGGAGUCAGGAGUCAGGAUGCAGCAUGCUACCGAGAAGUUUGCACUGCAGACCACUCUCUGUGGCCUCCCAGGCUGCAGUUAGUGCAGAGACUCCACCAGGACAUCCAGCUUGGCUGGUGAUACUUCACUGCAUCGUGAAGCCCAAAGCAACUGCUGCCUGUCUGGGCUGUCCGUGCUGGCCCAGCACUGUGUCCUCAGGAUGUUCCUUGGCUUCAACAGGCCCCAUGUCAACCCCCCCAGAACCUCAUGGCUCCUUCAUUCCUGUGGUCCCCUCAUUCCCGUGGCUCCCUGAUUCCUGUGGCUGAAAGAGCCUAAAGAGCUCCCCUUUUCCCAAACAGCUGUGGGGAGAUGGGCCAAAACAACAGGGUUUCCCCAUGAGCCUGUUGAAGAGGAGGAAGCAGCCCAGUAGAUCAGGGCUGUGCUUGGUAAGGCUCAACCCCAGCUUUAAAAGCAGCUGGUCCCACCUUUCCCACAGGCCAGUUUGUCUCCAGUGCCUCAGAUGGUGUGGCUGGCAGUGCAGGGCACAGCCAGCCAUGGCAGGGUCCUGCAAGAUCUCUCCAUGUGCACAGGUAGCACUGGGAGCCCUGAGCCUGGGAGGAGCUGGUGGUGCCUCUCAGGUGCCUGCUGUUGUACAGGUACAGUAUUUACCUCCCUUCUGCUGCCAGCACACUGGUCUCCUGACAGCAGUGAGUUUCUGAAGCAUUUAUUCUGAAUUAAGCUGCUGGGUACCAGGGAGGAGCUCUUGGAGAGAUGAGAAGAAGCAUUUGCCUCUGGGCACCGGCGGCCCCAUUUAGCCCCUCCUGGUCCCUUCCUUUUCUGGCCCCUCGGCACUGCUCUCUCCCACCAGCUAUGAUUGCAUGUUACUGGCAGAAAAGGUAAGUGGGAAGCAAAUGUCAGAGGCAUACAUGAAGAGGAAAAAUUAUGCUCACAAAUGGUGACAUUUGUGCUUGCAAGUUCACCCAGUCGGGAGCAGAAACCGUGUCACAUGAAUUAUCUGACCACUCAGCCACAACGGGACACUCUGGGAAGCCGAUUGCUUGGCAGUAAAUGCAGUCAAAGAAGCUGUUGUGUGCUCCUGAAUAAUCUACCUGAAGCCAUGUUCUUGAAUAAAGGACUGCUUUGGAAUUA